CUGUGAACCUGGGGUCAUUUUAUUCCUUAUAUUAUAUCAUUAAAGCCUGGUAACAGAAUGUUUGACACCCAACCAGAGGAAACCAUGAUGACCACCUUCCCCCAGCAUCAGAGAAACAGGAAGUGGGCGGGGCUUAGAGCUGCCAUCCAGGCCUGAGAGCUUCUGUCAUCAUCAGAGAACCAUGAAGGAACCGUCUCUGCUGCUUCUGCUCUUUCUGACAUCACUGCUGUGGAGUUUGACUAAAGCUGGUGUGACUGUGAGUCCCAGCAGAUC